rnacentral:lncRNA from 1 species
UCAUGAUAAGCACCAUUUAUUUAUUGGUUUAGUGUGUUAUUUUUAUAAUUUGAGUCCAUUCAUUAGAACUAUAAGUUGCAUAACAUCAAUGAGACAAAAUUUAUUGUUAUAUUUAGUUUGUUCAUACAAGGAUUGCAAACUAAUUUUCGGUGUGGUCACGUUUCUCCAACAUUUGGUAAUUAAACUAAAACAACAUUAGGGAUUAUGGGGUCCUCUUAAGGACUGAAUCUUGAUAUCUACCUGUAAUUCACCUGUUCUUGGCCAAAAUAUUGUUAAAAAGGUAUAUUUUUUUUAAAGAUAUAUAUAUUUUUUGAUAGUCUCCCAAAAUUGUAAAAGUCCAUAUAGUCUUACACAGUGAUGUAUUUUUUUAUUUUACAUAAAAAAAGAUGUGCAUGGUAUGAUAGACAAUGAGACAACUCUCUACAAGAGACCAAAUGAAACAGAAGUUAACAAUUAUACACAAAAAAGAAGAUGUGGUAUGAUUUCCAAAUGAGACAUCUAUUCACAAGAGACCAAAUGACACAGACAUUAACAAAUAUAGAUCACCGUACGGCCUUCAACAAUGAGCAAAGUCAUACCGCAUAGUCAGCUUUAAAAGGACCCGAGAAAACAAAUGUUUUUAAAAUAAUUCAAACGAGAAAACUAACGGCC